UACGGAGGGGGCUAGCGUUGUUCGGAAUUACUGGGCGUAAAGCGCACGUAGGCGGCUUUGUAAGUUAGAGGUGAAAGCCCGGGGCUCAACUCCGGAAUUGCCUUUAAGACUGCAUCGCUCGAAUUGUGGAGAGGUAAGUGGAAUUCCGAGUGUAGAGGUGAAAUUCGUAGAUAUUCGGAAGAACACCAGUGGCGAAGGCGGUCUGCUGGGCAGUUGCUGACACUGAGGCGCGACAGCGUGGGGAGCAAACAGG
rnacentral:rRNA from 1 species